GACCCCUACUACCACAACUGCCUCCAGAACGGGAGACUCCAGCCCUCACUGAAAAGCCUUCAUGAAUAUGAAACCCUCCGCCUACGGACACGGAUGCUAGAGCAGCCUGCUGCCAACCCCACUAGCCACAUCCCCGGUGAGAGGCAGGAGCCCUGGCGGUGGCAGAAGAAAAGCCGAUUCGAGUCCAUCCUUUGUACACUCAUGUGAAGGCAAGCAGCAGAGAC
rnacentral:lncRNA from 1 species